rnacentral:lncRNA from 10 species
GUGAGACUCUGUCUCACACAAAAAGAAAAAAAAAAAAAAAAGAAUAAAGCAUAGCCAAGAAGGUAAGUUUAGAUAGAUAGAUUUAUAAACUCUGAUGUCCUUUAAGUACUUGGUAACCUUUUGAUUCUCAUUUUUAAACCAUACAUUCGUUGCUUUAGACAAUAUACAACCGGUGCAAGCAUGCUGCUGCAAAUUCAAGCCCUCCUGAGAAUAGCAACAUUACAGGAUUGUACGCAACUGCUAACCCUGUUCCAAGCCAGCAUCCUUGUUUCAAGCCAUGGAGUUACAUUCCUGAUGGAAUCAUGCCAAUUUUCUGGAGGGUAGUGUAUUGGACGUCACAAUUUUUAACAUGGUAAGUUACAGUAAAUGAUAAAAUUUUUAAAAUUUUGGCUAAAGGAAUAAAAUGUUUUUCAAUCAA